rnacentral:lncRNA from 1 species
UACAAGGCAAGGUUAGUGGCUAAAGGCUACGCUCAGAAGGAGGGAAUUGACUAUAAUGAGGUAUUUUCUCCAGUUGUUAAACAUUCCUCCAUUAGAAUUUUGUUGGCCUUGGUAGCGCAGUUGAAUUUGGAGCUAGCUCAACUUGAUGUGAAGACCGCGUUUCUACACGGUGAUUUGAAGGAGGAAAUCUAUAUGACUCAGCCAGAUGGAUACAGGGUUGCUGGUAAAGAAAAUUGGGUGUGUAAACUUAGCAAAUCGUUGUACGGAUUGAAACAAUCUCCGAGACAAUGGUACAAACGAUUUGACAGGUUCAUGAAGGACCAGAAGUACAAAAGAAGCAAAUACGAUCAUUGUGUGUAUUUGCGCAAGCUUCAAGAUAGUUCCUACAUCUACUUACUCUUGUAUGUUGAUGAUAUGCUGAUUGCAGCAAAGAGCCAAAUGGAGAUUGAUAGACUGAAGGCUCAGUUGAGUAAAGAGUUUGAGAUGAAGGAUUUAGGGGAAGCUAAGAAGAUUCUCGGCAUGGAAAUAACUCGGGAUAGAAAGAGGGGCAAACUUUGGCUGUCACAAAAACAGUAUUUGGAGAAGGUACUACAACGUUUCGGUAUGUCUGAAGGUACAAAACCUGUAAGUACCCCAGUUGCUCCUCAUUUUAAACUAAGUAACCAGUUAUCUCCAACGACUAAGGAAGAACGAGAGUACAUGGCAAAAGUCCCAUAUGCAAAUGCAGUUGGAAGCUUGAUGUAUGCAAUGGUAUGUACAAGACCAGAUAUUUCACAGGCUGUUAGUGUUGUUAGCAGGUACAUGCAUGAUCCGGGCAGGGGUCAUUGGCAAGCUGUGAAAUGGAUUCUGCGGUAUCUCCAAAAUACCAUAGAUGUCGGAUUGGCAUUCGAGCAGGAUGAAUCAUUUGGUCAAUGCAUAGUUGGAUAUUGUGAUUCUGAUUAUGCAGGUGAUUUGGAUAAGCGACGGUCUACAACUGGCUAUUUGUUUACUUUAGCGAAAGCGCCAGUUAGUUGGAAAUCUACCUUACAGUCCACGGUGGCUUUGUCUACAACAGAGGCAGAGUAUAUGGCAAUUACAGAGGCUGUGAAGGAAGCAAUUUGGCUUCAUGGAUUGCUUAAAGACUUGGAAGUUGGUCAGAAACAACUUAAGGUAUAUUCUGACAGUCAGAGUGCUAUUCAUUUAGCAAAGAAUCAAGUUUUUCAUGCACGAACGAAGCACAUAGACGUUCGCUAUCACUUUGUGCGGGAAAUUCUCGAAGAAGAGGAGAUACUUCUCCAAAAGAUUCACACUGCGGAGAAUCCUGCAGAUAUGCUGACUAAGGUGGUUACAAGGGCCAAGUUUGAACAUUGUUUAGACUUGAUCAAUGUCCGACACAUUUGAUAUGGCGUCGUUGGCGCAAAUUUGAAGACACUAUUGAAUAUCGCUAAGGUGGAGAUUUGUUGAAUAUUGGCAAUAUCCCACAUUAGGAAAAGAUAGAAAGGGAGGGGGUUUGGUUUGUUAUAUAUAGAACCCCUCCCCCUUUGGUUGUAUUAUCCCAAAAUCUUCUCCUUUGUAAUAUUUCUAGAAGAAAUAUUAAUUUGGUAGUGUCCGAGGACGUAAGCUAAAUUGGCCGAACCUCGUUAAAUCUCUGGUAUUUUAUUUCUUAUUUGUUUGCUUAUAUUUAAUAGCUUUAUGUUGGUUAUAUUUAUUUAGUUAUUAUUGCUAUAAAUAUCUAAGUGAGUUCUGUCUAGUUGUUGGGUUUUAAGCGGGACCAUUUGUGACCCCUCUAAUUUAACUGGGAAUUUUCUUAGUAUAAUUGUUGGCAUAAUAAUUAUCUAAAUAUUUCUGAUAAUAUUGUUAUUAAUAUUAUCGUCGCUUCCGCAACAGAAAGUAGUAUCAAAUGUAAUAAUGGGUUUGACGAUGAAUUGUGAAGGAAAUGGGUGCAAUGUUAGAGGGGGACUUAUAGGCUAAAGUUAUCUAAGCUUUAAUGGCUGAUCACUUUUUCCUGGAAAAUUCUUCCCUAAUUAGAAAUUACUUUCCACGUGAAAAACGCUCUAGAUGAUGAUGCCCCGAAAGAUAACCCCAAUAACAGUCAAAGCCGUAAUCAUCUUCAACCUCAACCUUGUCGUAUAUAAUUGCACCAAAUAUAAAUUUAUACAAUAACUUUAUGUUACUUUCAAAGAGAUUUUUCCUAAAAGUGAAUCCAGAUUUCAUGAUAAUAUUAUUAAAAGAUGAGAUUAAGCUCAUUUAUAACGUAAGUUUAUAGUAUAUAUUAUAAUAUAUUAUAUACAUAGAUAGAGUAGAGAUGUGCAAAUCUCAGUCAAACUAAUAGAUAAGGACACAUGUAACAUGUUUUCCCACUUCAAUUUUUAAAUCCAUACAUGUACAUUAUGCAUCACGUUUGAAUUUUGUGUUUCACAAUGUUCAUAAUAUAACAAUAAUCUAUAAUAUACCAUUCGCUUAAUAGUGUAAAAAGCCUUCAAAUUUUAUUUUUUCAAAAAGAGUAAUUAAGUCCCUUUCUUUUUUCACCCAGUUGAGCAUUUAAACUUUUAAAAUAUAUCAAAAAGGCCCUCAAAUUUUUUCAAAAAAACAAUUAAGCCCUUGCUCUUUUUUUUUAUUCAAUUGGUUAUUUAAACUUUCAAAAUGCAUCAAAACGACUCUUAAAAUUCUUCAAAAAGCAAUUAAGUCAUUGCUCUUAUUAAAAAUAAUAAAUAAUAAAUUUUAAUAAAAAUAUAAAAAAAUAUAAAAUUUAUUAAAAAUUAGUAAUUUUUUAUAAAAAUCUUUAAAAAAUAAAAAAAUUUUAAAAUUUUAUAAUAAUCAUAAAAACUUUAUAAAAUGCAUCAAAAAGUCCCUUUAACAAUAAACUUUAACUGUUGAUUGUUAAAGUUAUAACCCCUAAUUUUUACAAUUAAAGUUAUCACGUGUCACAACACAGCGUGACAUGUGACGAAAAAUGAUAAAAAAAUAAAAAUAAUUAAAAGUUAUAGAAAAAUUAUAAAAUGCUUCUUUUGGUACGACAAAUUUUAUAAUUUUUUUUACGAAACUUAUAUUUCUUUACAUUUUUUUAUAAUUUUCUUACAACUUUAUAAAAUUUUAUAAAUUUUUUAUAUUUCUAUAUAUUUUAUAAGUUUUAUAAAUUUUUAUAUAUUUUUUCUAAUUUUUAAUAUUUAAUUUUUUUUCUAAUUUUUAAUAAAAGCAAGGGUUUAAUUGCUUCUUUGUUUUUUUAAGUUUGAGGGUCUUUUUUAUGCAUUUUGAAAGUUCAAGUACCCAAUUGAGUGCAAAAAAAAAAGUAGGGGCUUAAUUGCUUUUUUGAAAAGGUUUGAGGGUAUUUUUUAUACAUUUUGAAAGUUCAAGUACCCAAAUAAGUGCAAAAAAAAAAGCGUAAGGCUUAAUUGCUUUUUUUUAAGAAGUUUGAGGGUUUUUUUGUAUCCUUAAGCCUAUACUAUUUAAGGGUCGAGUUAAUAGUCUGGCAUUAUAAAUUUGAUUUCAAAUUAGAAUUUUUUAUUUAUGAUUAUCCUGUUUAACAAUAUCUUAAAUGUUUUACAACUACAUCUACAUCUACAUCUACAUCAAUAUUUUUUUUAUCAAGCUUAUAUUAAUUUAAAUAAUUUUGAGCUUCUAAAUGUAGAAGUGAUCAUGGACCGUGCUUGGUCGAGUCUCAAUAGAAUUUUAGGUUCGUUUUUUUGGCCUGAGUUCAGUUUAGCCUGGAAAAUGGGUCUAAUAUUUUGUCCAAGCUCAAUCUGGAUAAAAAUGUUAAAACCUGGGCCCAACUUGACCGUAUUAUUUUUUAUAUUAUUAAUUUUAUAUAAAAAUAAAUUUAAAAAAUAUAAUACACUAAAAAUAUUAAAAUAAAUAUUUCUCAACAAAUUAAAAAUUUUAUUUAUACUCAAAAAACACUAAUAUAGGUGCAAUUUAGCAAGCAAAUACAUAUAAAAUAGUAGCAAAAUUAAUAAUAAAAUAAGAGUUAUACAAUAUCAAAAUAAUAAUAACAAAAUAGUAACAAUAUAAUAGCGAGAUGACACGAAAACAGUAACAAAAUAGCAGCAAAAGCAGUGAAAACAAUAACAAAAAGCAGCAGGUUUUUCUUUUUACAAAUUCAAACUAAACUCGAAUUAAAGAAAAAUUUAUUCAAGACUUGACCUGUUUAGAAAACAAAUCUCAUGUUUUUUUUUAUCUAAACCUUUUUUAUGUUUUAGACGAGUGUAAUCAGAUAUACCUAAAUCCCUAUAAAAUAAUGUUGUGGAAUGCCCUAUCGAGGUCUUGUUUGGAAUGGAUGUAUGUAUAUCCCACCAACAUCAAGUCGGCUGGCACACAAUACACGAAUAAAUCAUUGGCAAAAUAUCACAAUAUAGUAAUAUAAUAUAAUUGGUCCACUUUAAAAGUUUUCCAUUGUCAUACACAGUCCAAUUCGAAUGUAUAUAUAUAUUUUGCUUUUAAUAAAAAAUUAAUAAAUUAGGUCAAAAAGUACUAAUACAAUAUUCAAAAUAUAAUAUUUACAGAAAAAAUUAUACGAAAUAAAGACAUCACAUUAUCUUGUAAUUAUUAUCAAUUAUUAAUGUCAUUCCAAUAUUUUUUUAUGUUAUUGGCAUAUUAUUUUAGUAAUUUUUUUAACAUAAAUCAUAGACUCUAAACUUUGAAUCUUCAACAUUGAACAUUGAGUCUAAAAUUUAUGGUCUAAAAUUAAGGGUGCAAAGUCUAGGGUUAAAAGUUAGGAUCCAAGAUUCAAAACCCAAGGUCUAAAAUUUAAGUUAAAAUAAUUAUUAAAAUAAUGUGUCAAAAAAAUAUUGAAAUAAUAUUAAAUAAUUAAUAAGAGAUAUGGGAUAAUAUGGCGUAGAAUUGUGUUCUUAUAUUAUACAUUACAAAUGGAGAAAAAAUUUCUACAAAGGCAUUUUUGAAAAAUAACCGUCUUUAUAACCACGAAGAAAUUAAAUUAAAAUCCCUGUUAAGGAGCAGUGCAUUCUUUAGGAAGUCCCUGAGGGAAUCGCUUGGUGUCAGUGCAGUAAUUGUAAAUCAUGUAAUUUUUCUGAACCCAUUUCAGCCUUUCUUGGCUCGUUAUAUCCAGUUCUUGCGAUAGCCAUGAAUUUUGAGAGGGCGAGGUGGAGGAACAUGAUGAUUUCCCGGAAGACCACACACAUGCAUCAGCCUUGUAAUUCCUGUAAGCAGCAGUGAAAGGAGCUUGACUCCAAUCUGUCUUAACAAGACCACCUCGAGUGGCCCAAUCAUCGGCGUUCCAAAGACUCGAAUACACUCUCAUCGGUUGGCUCUUUGGGAACGCAACGCCCAUCGAUUCCAAGUUCUUGAACUCUCUGAGCGGAGUCCCAUCAACAGAGAAGCUGUGAACAUUCAAAAGAAUCACAGUUAAACAUAAUGAAAAUAAUCGAAACUGUAAAAUUGAAUAGGGGGGGGGGUUGUAAAAGAAGACGUACAUAAUACGUUGAGGGUUCCAAAGAAGGGAGUAGGUGUGGAAGUCUUUGGUGGGAUCGAACCAAAGGUAGAACUGUUGCUCUUUAUCACCUUUGCCUUGUGUAUAUACAUUGGUGUGGACUGUGUAUGGGUCUCCGCUUAGGUUCCCCAAGAACUCGAAGUCGAUUUCAUCCCAUGUCGACCCUUCCGAACGAAGCUGCAAUUGUCACCCCACAUAUCAGCACAGAGUUGUAAAAUAAAUAAGAGACAAGUAUGAUGAUACAACGUACAUAGUAAGUGGUAACAGUGCCAGCAGAGUUGCCUGGGACCAGCUUAAUGUUCAUAUCAAUCUUCCCAAACAGAUAUUGGUUCUUGGAUUGAAAACCAGAGCCGGAGAAUUUGUCGAGGGUGAGAGUGAGAAGGUUUCCGUUUUCGAGAAUCUUGCCCCUGCCAUCACCCCAAGUAACAUCGAUGUCUUGGUUAAAGUUGGCAGCUGAGGCAAGUAUUACAAAGCUGAAUAAAAGAGAGAGAAGCAACGAAGUGGUCAUUAUUUUGGUGGGUUUGUAUUGUAAUUUAGAUUAUGAUGUUUGAAAUGGGGAAGUGAUAGAGGGUGGUUAUAUAGGGGGGAAGGAUUUGGUGAAACAGAGUAGAGAGGGGUUGUUUGGAAGCUUCGUGGUAUGUGUUUCCGUCGGGACAUUGAGUGAAUCGAAGUUGUAAACAGCUGGAACCGUAAAAGAGAAAGAAAGAAGGGGUCCAAAUGUGAUAAUACAUAACUAAUGGCUGUUCCUUGCUUCCAAAAUGCAUGUUUAAUUAAUGGGUUUGGUGCCUUCUUCCUAUGUCUGGUUGGUGCAAGCAGAUAGAUAUGAAUGUCAGGAAUUUAAUCCGAUUUUAAAAUUUGAGCUUUUAAAUAAAAAAUAAAUUAUUUAAGAUAAUAUCAAUGACUGUUAAAAUAAACUUUAAAAAUAUAGGUGUUUUUAUAUCCAAUAGUAAGUUACAUUAUAUUUUUAAAAAGAAGAUCGUGUAUUUGAAUUUUGAAAAUAUUGAAAUGAUCUUAAAAUAAACAUGAUUAAUUUGUUCUACAAUUUGAGUGAACCAAAAGAUUUCAUUAGCUUAAAAUCAACGGUGUUAAUUAAUAUGAGUAAUUGUCAAUGGCAAAACCAGGGGAGGAUAGCAGGGUCUUAGACCCCCUAAAAUAAAAAAAAUUUCGUAUGAUCUUUUGAGUAAAGGUAAAAUUAUAUUUUGGUCAAACUUAGAAAUAUAAAAAUUUAAUUUAAUCUUUUAAAAUUUAUAAAAAUAUAGUCUAUUAAAAUAAUAAAAUUAUAUUUUUUAUCGUAAAAAUUACAAUUUAAUUUUAACUGUUAAAUUUUUUUUAAAAUUUCACCCAUAUUGAUUGACUAAUUUUUGGGACCAACAAAAACUCAUCCACUGGGCUCAUCAUCUCAAACAAAAAUAAUAAUUAAACUAAUUAUAAAAAUGUCUAACCAAGUUCACAUUUUUAACAUUCUUUCAAUGAAAAUUAAAAUGAUUUUUACGCUUCGCGUUAAUUUAAUUAUUUAUUUAUCUCAAAUUUUGGAGUAUAAAUUUGAAUGUUAAAAUAUACUUUAAUCCUCCUAUCAUUUUCAGAAAUUUAAACCCUCUACUCUUGAGGAUAAAUAGACAUAAAUGAUUUGUUUAACUAUUAAGUAGAAAUUAAUCACAAAUAAUUAAAAUAGAAAAAUAAAAUUUAAAAUUUUUAAAAAAUAUAUAUUUGAACAUUAAGUAGCAAAAAAAAAACAAGUAACUUAAAUGUGAAAAUAAAAUUUAAAAAUUAUAAAAAUUAAUUCUUUUCCAAAAUACUAAUUAAAUUGUCUUUAUUAAGUUUUAAUACCUAAAUUACUUCUACUAAUUUUUUUUAUAGUACCUAAGCUACCCCUACUUACUCCUUAUGGCUAUCAAAGGAGAUGGUUUUAUUAUUUAUAGAUAGAUAGAUAACUUUAAAUAAAAGAAUGUUCAUCAAUUAGCUUUUAAAGUAUUGAUAAGUGUUAAAAGUAAUAUAUUUUAACCUCAUUCUUAAUGUGUUUUUGGGUGAUAAUUCGAUGUUAAUUGUGAAUUUUAUACUCUUAAUCCUUUAAAUUCAUGUUUUGAUGCCUAAUAGAGCAAAAGGAGCAAAAAACGAGUAAAAACCGAAAAAUCAAAGCAAGUUAUAGGACCUAUACGGGCAAACCCAUUCCACAUGACCAUGUGACCCACAUGAGCUACCAUACGAGCGUGUGGUAGGUCGUGUCGAUUGCACGGAUUUGCAUUCUGAAUAGCAAAAAAUCACGUUUUUAAAGUGUUUUAGGCAUUCUAAAACGUAUAUUUGACAAAAAUAAAAAGAUAGAAGGGAGCCAUUAUAGAAUUUUCAAGAAAACAACUCGAAAAACACCAUUGAAGCCGAUUCUGAAGUAGAUUUCCGUCAAGAUUGAAGACUCUCAGUUGAUUUCUUAAGAGAUUGUCAUAAGUUUUUUUUAUUUCUUUCGGUUAUACUGUAUCUUGGAUUUUUUUUUUCAAGCAUGAAUUAAUUUUCUAAAUACCUAGGGAGAUGAACCUUAUGAUGGAUUCUUACGUUUGAUUUUUAUUUUACGCAAUAAAUAAUUAUUUUUUAUUCUUAAUUAUCUGUGCUUAAUUUAUUGGUUUAAUAUUUCUAAACUAUUGAUCCAUAUUUGAUGUACUUAAAUCAGAGGUUAAAUAAACCAUAUGUAAGAGUAGAUUUUGCUUAAUUGAGUGGAGUUGCAUGCAAUCCCAAAAAUAUGAUGACAUAAAUCUAUUGGAUUAGAGUCAAAUCUAAUUGGGAAAUCCAUAGCCCGAGUUAAUGCGAUAAUAAGAGUUUUAAUUAAAAAGAACAAUCAAUUAAUCAACCUAGAGUCAGUUGCUCUUAUUCUCGAAAGAGAUAUUAGCAUAAUUAGGGGUUUCCAUGGAUCAUGUCACUAAAUAAAGAAAUUGCGUAAUUUAGAUUGAUAGUGACAGAUGAAAUCUAGGUGAAUUAUUUCAUGAGUAUUGUUUCGCUUCUUAGUUAUUAAUCCUUUAUUUGCUUCUUUUGUUCUUUGCUAUGUUUAUUAGUUAAUUAAAUUUAGUUUUUAAAUCAAUCACUUGAAUUAUUCUGUUAAAUGAUAGAAAAAGAUAAUAAUUAUUAGCACUUUUAAUUUUCAUAGAAACGAUAUCUUUAUUCAUUAUACCUAUACAAUUAACUGAUAAAUAAAUUUACUUUAGCUAGUUCCGUGGACAUAAAGUAAUACCAAUAAUUCGGAAUGAAUGAUAGGAAAUUUGAUUUUUUUUAUUGAAAUUUUAUAAAUAAAAAAUAAUAUUGAGAAAUCCAACUUAAGAAUUCAACACUAAUAUCACAUAAGAGAAAAGACAUAUGAUAUGAUAGGAAAGCAGGUUGAUGACUGGCUUGUGGAUAAUUAUGAAAAGGCAAACAAAAGAGAGAAUAUGAUUACAAAUAAACAGCUGGCUGCCAGAAUCAUUUCAUUGUGAAAAAAAUAUGUUAUAACAUGUUAAAAUAAUAUUAAUUUAUAUUAUAAUUAUAAUUAAUAUAAUAUGAAUGUCAAGCCCUCGAAUAAAUGCCUAUAAAAUAAUGUUGUGGCAUGGCCCCAUGGAGGUCUUGUUUGGAAUGGAUGUAUGUAUCAGUAUAUCCCACCAACUUCAAGUCGGUUGGCACACAAUACACGAACAAAUCAUUCACAAUAUCACAAUAUGGUAAAAUAAUAUAGAUCCCCACUUUUUUUUUACUUGAAAUCGCGAAAUUUUUACCAAGAUAAGUGCUAUUCGAGAACAAUUAAUUGAUUUAGAUUUGUGAAUUCGUAGAGAUUAUUUGGAGGUAGAAUGGAAAAAGUUAGGAGAAGAAUGCUCAUGAGUUAUGAAUGAGAAUAACAAAAAAUUAGAAGAAGAAAGGAUUUUUUUUUGGUUAGGUGCUUGGAAUGGAAUUGGUUAAGCAUUUUAUUCGAACAGAUAUAGAACUGGAAUGAAUGGUUUUAUGUCGUUUGGCUGUUCAGAUCUUACCUGUUAUAGAGAGGUGGUUGUUAUACACCUAUAACAACAUGUUGUUAUAGAGAGAUAAUAAGCUUACCAUAAAAUUUGUAUUGUGAAUUUUUAUUAAAUAAAGAAAAUGAGAAUUAUAUUAAAAAAAGAAAGAAAAUAGGAACCAAAUAAAUAAAAUUAAAAGACAUAUAAUAAGUGUAUGUAUUAUUGUUUUUAUGCAUAUUUUAUUUUACAUUAUUUCACAUGAUUAAUUAUAAAGUCCAUAAAUCUAAUAAGUUCAAUUAAUCAAUGAGUUAUCAAAUUAAAUUAAUUAAUUAAUUAAUUUAUAAUCAUUGUUAACCAAUGAGGUAAACAAGAGGAAGAAGAAGAUGAUUGAACAAGGAAGAAUGAAGUGAAGGUUGGGGAGUGGUUUUAGUUUUGAAGAUAGUUAGGGGAUUGGGAAGGAGUGUGUACGUGAAUCUAUAUGACUUGUUUGCAUGCCCCUUUUAUAGUGGGGAAUAAGCUUGGAUACGUGUCUUGAGGUUACUGACAUGGAAAUUUGAUUUGAUACCCUUGGCAGUGAUAAUGAUACUACGUCCUAGAAUCACGUCCUAAGAUGAGAUGUUAUAGGGUGACUAGCAAUUAAUUACUUUGGUCCUCCACGUGCCCCCACAUAGUCUUAGCGGAGUUGUUCCUUUCUAAAGUUCAUCGAGUUGAUGUUCGUGAACCAACCCUAAGUUCGUAAUGUAGUUGGUUCCAUUGAGAGAUACGCGUUCAGCUCUCUAUGGAUGCACUUUGAGGUUCAUAAAGUACAUUGUAAGGUCUGGGAGGAUCACUAGACAAGGUAUAACAAUCAUGAAUUACUAAAUUCAAGUAAUCAAUUUAUAACUUUAUGAUAUUUCAAAUUCAUAGCAAAAUAUUUAAUUAGGGAGCUUAAUAGUUUAUGGAAUUGAUAUAUUUAAUUUCACUCAGUGAAGAUUAUUUUCAUUUAAUAAAACAUGAUUAAUAAAUUUCUUCAAGUGAAAAUUAAUCAUUUUGUUGAAAUAAUAUUUUGAUUAAGAUAAUUUUCAUUUAAUAAAUGCUAAGUAAUAGGCUUGCUUAUAUGAAAGAGCUAUAAUUUUACUUAAAAUUUAGAUAAUAUGUUGUUAUAGAGAACUAAUUUAAUAAAGAACGUACUUCAUAAUUAUAGAUGUUACAAUUAAUAGUGAAAAAUUAUUAUAGAAAGUUAAAAUAGAAUAUUAAAAAUCGAUUCUUCUAAAAAUUUAACUAUUAUAAUAGAAUGUUGUUAUAACGAGUGAUUGUUAUAGAAAAAAAUAAUGCAUUACCCUAACAAAAUAGAUAAAUUUAAACUCUGACAAUUAUGAAUGAAGCAUAUUAAUUUUAAUUUCUCCUCUUAAUAUCUAAUCUAAGGUUUUGGUUUAACUUGCAUAUUUCAAUGAAUUAAUGAAUUUUGUUUAUCUAUUGUGAAAACUAUAUAUUUAGAAUACAUAUAAUAGAUUAAAAAUAAUGAAAUAUAAAUAUUGAAAUUAAUUAACAAUAACACAUAAAAUAUGUACGAUAUUAAAAUAAAAUUUACAUAUUAAAUUGUGAGUAAAAUAAAAUUUAAAGACAUAAACACAUCAUAUUAAGAGCACUAAAUACACUCCAAUUGCUUAUUAUGGUGUUGUCAUCAAUCUAGAGUUAGUGCUGAAUUCACUUAUGACACCAACUCAAUCAGCAACAUUAUUAAUACUAGAAAUUUUAUCACACAUAAGCGUGUGGAAAUCACAUAUUUAGAAUACAUAUAUGUGUUUAAAAAUAACAUGUAAUAAAUAAUAAAAGAUAUUGUUUGAAACUAAUAAUAAGACACAUGCAAUAUGUACGAAAUUAAAAUGAAAAAAUAUAGUUUAAAUUGUAAUUUUUAAAAAAAGUCAUUUUCCUAUAACAUGUCAAAAAGUUAUUGAAAGAAAAUUCAAUAUUAAAAUUCAAAUUAUGGCACACCCACAAUGUUUGUGAAAAAUUAAAUUACGUAUCAAAUAUAUUUGUAAAAAACUUAUAUAAAUAAUAAAUAAUGUUUUAGUUGAAUGGUAAAAUAUAAAUGAGAAAAAUUAAAGAGACAUGAGUUUAAAUCUUAUUUUAUAUACACAUGAGCGCGCGCACACACACAUAUAUAUUUGCAUUUUUCUAUUUUUAUAUAAAAUAAAUAAAAUGAUAGAAAUGCCUUCAAAAUAAUACAAUUUAUUUCAUAUAGUCAGGGUAUUUUAAUCUUUUUUCAACUGAGUUGGUAUCUAAUUAACCCGUGACACCAACUCAAUAAGGAGCCUUAAGUAUAGAUAUACAAUUGGUGGAGGUAAUAUAGCGUGCAUAAUAAAAUUAAAAUGUAAAAAGAUAAAAUAAAUCUUUAGUUGAGCGGUAAUUUAAGCUUUUAUUAAUACCAUCAACUUGGGUUCAAGUCCCACUGAUUGUAUUUAUUAUUCUUUUUAAAUAAAAAGAUAAAAGUACCCUCGAAAAAUAAAAUUUAUUUUUAAGUAUUAAAGAACAUUAUGAUAAUUUUCCUAAUUGAGUCGGUACUUAAUUGACUUAUGGAAUUAACUUAAUCAAGAACUUGAAUAAUAGUAUAGAUAAUGACUUGUUUGUAUAUACAUGUUCAAUUUUGUAUGUUGAAAAAAACCUUGUUAUUGAAGAUGUAUUUAUAUUUCCUCAGCAAAAUUGAAAAUAGAGAAAAAUAUAAAGAGAAACGAUUUUUUAUUGUUUUUAUUUGUGUGCUUGAUAAAAUAUACGAAAAAUUGAAAGUAAAAGUAAUUUUUUUUUUAUUGAUUGUUUAGUAGAGUUAAAAAAUGAAUUCAUUAAAAAUGGCUUCUGUCAUAAUUUGCUUCCGAACUAUAAGUACUUAAAUAAAUUUUUUUGUCCCAUUUUGAUACCUCAUUCAUUAUAAUUUUCGGUCCAAAAUAUUAAUGGUAUUAAAAAAAUUGUCAAACCAACCAAUGCGCUACAUGUUUGACAUUUUCACGUGUCAUUAAUUAUGUGACCAAUUAUCGAUGAUGUGGUCGUUAAUCAUUGAUCGUAUCGAACAACUGUUUGCUAGACAUUGGUUGGCAUGUAAAAGAAGGUCACAUAUACCAUUAAUUUUUUGGACCAAAAUUUAUAACAAAACAAUAGUUUAGGUAUUAAAAUAGGGAAAAAUGUUUACGCAAUAAAAUAAGAAAAGCAGAAUAGUGACUCGUGACCUAAACUUAAAAAAAAAUGCAUAAUUUUGAUAUAACAUACAUUUCUCUUAUCAUCCCAAUUUAUCAUAAUUUAUUUUUAUGCACUAAAAUGUAAAAUUAUUAUCCCUUCUUAUAUUUGAUCAAGUACGCCCUAUUUUUACUUCUUCACUUUUAUCUUACUUUUUAUUACAACACCAAUUUUAAAAAUAAAUAGAGUUGAAACAACAUUUUAAAAAAUAAUAAGAAACAUGACUAGGUUUACACAUUCAACCUCGUUUAUUUAUUGCCUUUUGACACAGUAAAUUUCCAGAGCAAGGGAAGACAUAAUCGUAGGAUAAAAGUUGCAAAGUUUGGCAUUCUGAUCUCAAUUUUUUAAAAUAAUAACAUGAAUAAACUAAUGAUAGAUUGAUUUAUUUAUUCUCUUUUUAAUUUUUUAUUUAAUCUGUUUUUUUUCACCAAUUUGUAUUAAUUUAAGAAUUUUGAUUUGUCUUAAAAUUAAAAGUGAUAAGUAUCGAAUUGAAUAUAUGUGAAAAUAUGAUGUAGUAUUAUAAAUGUGAAAUUGAAUUAAUAUCAUUAUGUGUAAUGCUAUUAUAUUGGAGAAUUGAUUAUUGGUUGAUGAAAUUAUGUAAUGAAAUUGAGAAAUUGUUACCCUAUUAACUGUUCGGGUAGAGUCGGAUAUAGUUGGCAUGCCAUAGGAUAGGAAGAGUUCAGGGUUACUUCGGUUGUACCGAUGAGGCACUGAGUGUCAAACACAUUGAUGAGCGUUGGGCUCAAACUAUUUACUUCGACAUUGUCCGAUGAGGCACUGGGUGUCAAACUGGUUUGAUUGGUUAGAUCCGUAUAUAUGUCCGAGUCCGAUUUAGAUUAAUAGGGGUAUAAAAUAAAUUUUGAUAAAUGAUAUUUGAAUUGGGUUAAUAUUAUGUUUUGAUGAUUUGUAUACAUAUUGUGAUUAACGGAUAUCGAUGACACGUAAAAAAUCAUACGAACCAGUUAUGUGCCUGAUGGGCCGAUAUAAAAAUGUGAUGAAUCAAUAAGUUCAAUUCAGAAUUUAAAUAAGGAAAUGAAAUAGUAAUUGUCAUUAAACUUAAAUUGGAUAUAUAACUGAUAAAUAGAUGGAAUGACAUAAUAUUAUAAGAAUGAUGUUCAUAUGGUUAAAUGUUGAAUUGAUUUUGAGAAUGGUAUUGAAAUGUGAUUUUAGGUGAGGUUUAUUUCAUAUUGAAAUGUUAUAUGAUGAGUUUAAAUGUUAACUCAGCUUGUUGAUUUAUGAUUGUCAUGUUUAGGUAAAAUUGUCAAGUUGAAUAACUUGUUGUGUUAAAUCGUAAAAUAAGGUAAGAUGUUUAAAUACCAGUGAACUUACUAAGCAUUUGUAAUGUUUACCUUCCACUUGUUUCCUUUUCCCUGUAAAUUGCCAACUUAAGGAACGUGUCAAGUGGAUCUUUGAGAAACUCACAUUAUCAUGUUGUUGAUUCGGUAUCUUUUAAUCAUUUAAAGUUCAAUUUUGUGGCAUGUAUAUAGGUAAUUUGUUUUGAUCAAUCUUGAAUGUUGGCACUUUGGUUCUUGAAUGUGAUUGGUAUUUUGAAUGGUUAUAUGUUAUAUACAUAGGUGUAAAGGUUGGUAAUGUGAUGCUCGAGUAUAGGCAUAAUAUGUAUAGAUAUGUUAUCUGGGAGUGAUAGUGUUUUUGGAACCUUAAAUAAUGUUAAACUUAAUUGGCAAAUAGGUUGUGUACUAAAAUGUGCACUUUGACAUUUUUGUCAAGUUAUGGUAGAAGCUUAAAUGGCAUUUAUUGAGGUUGAAAUGUUAAGAUGUUUGGCGUGCCUUAUUGAAUGAUUGAUGAAUACAUAUGCUAUUAAGCUUACCAAAGUGUUCAUUACAUGUGAAAUAACUUGUACGGUUUUGUAGUUAACAAAAUGGAUGAAUUAGGAUGUGUUUAGAAUAAUUUUAUGCAGGUUUGUAUUGGCCAAAUGUACACCAUUUUAGCCUUUAAUUUGUUUUGAUUAUAUUUAUUCUUUUUACUAUAAUGUUUAAAAUUAUUCAUAAUCUCUUUCGAACUCAUAAAUAAAAAAAUACACUAUUUUCAAUCUAACUAUCGUCAAUCUAAGACGAAUUUCAUAGUUUGUCGUUUUAGUAUCUUACGUAAAGAGAACGAAAGAAAAGUUCAACAACCGGAACUUAGACCUGGCAGUCUACACGUCUUCAUUUAAUAUUCGAAAUAGAAUAUUAUUAUUGAGCUUAUAUUACAUGUUACAAUAUAUGUAGAAUGAAACAAAAGAAUACUAUUGAGGAAAUUAAUUAAAUUAAAAUCCCUGUUAAGGAGCAGUGCAUUCUUUAGGAAGUCCCUGAGGGAAUCGCUUGGUGUCAGUGCAGUAAUUGUAAAUCAUGUAAUUUUUCUGAACCCAUUUCAGCCUUUCUUGGCUCGUUAUAUCCAGUUCUUGCGAUAGCCAUGAAUUUUGAGAGGGCGAGGUGGAGGAACAUGAUGAUUUCCCGGAAGACCACACACAUGUAUCAGCCUUGUAAUUCCUGUAAGCAGCGGUGAAAGGAGCUUGGCUCCAAUCUGUCUUAACAAGACCACCUCGAGUGGCCCAAUCAUCGGCGUUCCAAAGACUCGAAUACACUCUCAUCGGCUGGCUCUUUGGGAACGCAACGCCCUUCGAUUCCAAGUUCUUGAACUCUCUGAGCGGAGUCCCAUCAACAGAGAAGCUGUGAACAUUCAAAAGAAUCACAGUGAAACAUAAUGAAAAUAAUCGAAACUGUAAAAUUGAAUGGGGGGGGGGUUGUAAAAGAAGACGUACAUAAUACGUUGAGGGUUCCAAAGAAGGGAGUAGGUGUGGAAGUCUUUGGUGGGAUCGAACCAAAGGUAGAACUGUUGCUCUUUGUCACCUUUGCCUUGUGUAUAUACAUUGGUGUGGACUAUGUAUGGGUCUCCGCUUAGGUUCCCCAAGAACUCGAAGUCGAUUUCAUCCCAUGUCGACCCUUCCGAACGAAGCUGCAAUUGUCACCCCACAUAUCAGCACAGAGUUGUAAAAUAAAUAAGAGACAAGUAUGAUGAUACAACUUACAUAGUAAGUGGUAACAGUGCCAGCAGAGUUGCUUGGGACCAGCUUAAUGUUCAUAUCAAUCUUCCCAAACAGAUAUUGGUUCUUGGAUUGAAAACCAGAGCCGGAGAAUUUGUCGAGGGUGAGAGUGAGAAGGUUUCCGUUUUCGAGAAUCUUGCCCCUCCCAUCUCCCCAAGUAACGUCGAUGUCUUGGUUAAAGUUGGCGGCUGAAGCAACCAUUACAAAGCUGAUUAAGGCAGAUAGUAGCAGCAAUGAAGUCCUCAUUUUUUUUGGUAGGUUUGUAUUAUGAUGUUAGGAAAUGGGGGAGUGAUAGAGGGUGGUUAUAUAGGGGAGGUGGAUUUGGUGAGAAAGAUGAAGAGAGAAGCUUCGUGGUAUGUGUUACCGUCGGGACAUUGAGUGAAUCAAAGUUGUAAACAGCUGGAAACAUAAAGAGAAAGAAAGAAAAGAAAAAGGUCCAAAUCAAUAAUACUGAGGGGUGUUGCUUGGAAGUUGGUACCAAUAUGCAUGUAUAAUUUAUGGAUUUGGUGCCGCCUUUCCAUGUCUGGUUACUGUGCAUUUGCAUGUCAGGAAUUGAACCGGCAGUUGAAGCAGUAAAACUUUGAUUCAGAGUUUCAACUUUAAAAUAAUUAAUAUUCAUUAUAUCCAUCAGUGUAAUAAACAUAUCACAAUCAAAACACACUGUAAUACACUCACCAAUCCCAAACGAGGUUGGGGUUUGGAGGCCAGAACCCAACUGUUUAUACGCAGGCUUAUACGUUGUGCAAUUUGAGUGAACCACAAGAUUUCAUUAGCCUAAAACCAGUGGUGUUAAUUAAUGUGAGUCAUUGUCAUAUUGGCUGACUAAUUUUUGGGGACCAAACCAGAACUCAACCACUGGGCUCAUCACGUUAAUCAAAACAACUAUUAAUUAUUAAUUAUUAAUUAAAUCCAUUACAAAAAAUGCCUGACCAUAACUAUUUUCUUUUCAUUUAUUAUCUAGACUGAAAUUUGAAUCCUUAAUUCAAAAAAGUAAAAUCCAUUGGUGAAUUACUUUGUGUUUGAUUAUUUCAAGGAUUUCCGUAAUGAAAAAAAUCUUAACUUUUGAACAAGUCAAUUGUUCUAGAAAUAUCUUAAAAAGUCAAGUAAUAAUAUACAUUCUAAAAAAAACUAAAAUUGAUAAAUCAAUAAUCUAUUAAAUAUUAAAUUUAGGUGUUAUUUGAUAAAUUAAAAAAAAUUAAAUGUUCAAAAAUUAAGUAUUGAGUUUAAGUUAUAAAAUUUGUUUGAUAUAUUACUUAAAAUUAGUUAUGGAAUAUAAUUAGAUUGUUUGAUAAAUAUAGAUUUUAAAUUAUAAAAAAUUAUAUUCUACAUUUUAUCUUUAAUUUUUAAACAUUUCACCUUAUUCUAAACAAAAAUUAAAAUUUCAAACGUAAAAUUUUUAUAAAAAAUAUAACAUUACAAAAAACUAAAAUUAAAAUAAUUGAAAAUAUUUUCAAUUAAGUGAUAAAUAAUUUUUAUCUACUUAUUAUUUUUCACAUUUUUUUAUAAGGAAUUCUAACAUAUUGCCUUAAUUUUCAACUUUUUAUCAAAGAAGGUCUUAGUCAUGAUUUAAUUAAAAUUUAACAUUGUAUUGUGCCCUCUUCUUUUCAUAGAAAAAGCCUAGCUAUUCAACUUUUUCAAAUUAAAUCUUUACUCUGUGGGCAGCGGCGCUGGCCUUCAAGCUUGUUGCUAAUCACAAUUCCUCUUAACAAUUUUUGUAGUUUUAUUUUGUUUUUAAUUUCAAUCUACAUUAUUGUGGUUUUGUCUACAGUUUUGUGGUUUUAUUUUGUCCACAUUUUUUAUGGUUUUUGUUUUGUCCACUUUGUUUUCUUUGAAAAUAGUGGUGGUUUUAUUUUUACAUUUAAUUUUUUAGUCAUGUUCUAACAGGUAUGUGAGAUAUUGUAACACCCCCAACCCGUAUCCGUCGCCGGAACUGGGUUACGGAGUAUUACCGGAUAUAUCGGAUAACUUAUCACUAAUUCACAAAUAAAUAACAUACAUAGCAUACUUUAAUCAAUACAUUACCUAGAUAUUAGAUACAUGCCACAAUAUCAAAAGAAAGGCACAUCACUAAAAUUCACUAAUUCAAAAAUAUUUUUAAAGUCACGCUUAACUUAUAAUUAUUAAUUAAUAAAUUUUUCUAACUUUUUGAUCGAAUUUAGUGAUCUCAAAUCACUGUUCUGACACUACUGAAAAUUGAGCUGUUACAACUCUUCCCCCCUUAAAAAUUUUCGUCCUCGAAAUUUCUCACUGAUACAAGCUAUUAAGUCAAAUCUUUCUUCCACCUUUUUUAUCGAAGUCCAUAAAAUUAAUCAUAACUCAUAUCACUUCCGAACUCAUAUCAAAACUCAUUUUAGAACUUGAUACUAUGACUGAACUUAAUUGAGUAGCUCUGAUGUUCUCCUGUCAUCACUUUCUCACUAGUAGUAUAACUACCGAGAAUUUCCAGUAAUCGUCAAUCAAAACAUAACUGAGAAACCCGUAUUAUUAAACUCUGACUGAUAUUUUUGACGUGGUUGCAUCUGUAACUUUCAACUGAUAUUUGUUUCUUUUUUUUUCCAUGAAAGCGUCAAGUAAUAUCAUUUUACACAACUGCAAUAACUUCAACAACAAGGACAACUUUAACCCAUAAUAAUAUUUCCCGAUUAAAACUGACCUGAUAGAUAUAUUUCUGUAUCAAGUCUUCUAGAAUCUGAUUUUUUCAUUCUGAUUGUCCUUCUAUUUACCCAUGAAUACACAAAAUUUAUUCCCGGUCCUGAGAAUAGACUCAAAUGCAUAAAAACCAGUUGCCUACGGAUUAUCCUUCAUCCUUUAUCCAGCAGAGCCAUCUCUUGCAAUCUAUGAACCUGAACCAUCUUAUCUAAUACCUUCGAACGAAGACCUUGAAAACCCAUCCAGCCAGAAAAAAGCAGAUAAUUUAAACCCAUUGUGAAGACCCAAAAUGUACUGAUUCCAUCAGUGAUUAUAACUCAAUUAACUUUUCAAUGAAUAACCCACUUUGAUUAGAACAACUGAGUCGAUUUUAUCUAUCAGAUAAUAACAUUUCAGAAUAAUCCAUUCUUCUUGUUGUCAAAACAAUCCAGAUAUACCAUAUAUCAUAAUUUUCUCGGAAUAUCAACAGAAAUUUACCACAAACUGCAUUAACUCAAACGAAUUAUGACAUCUCAUUAUUGACUUGCUGACAUAAUUCAGGAUUACCUGAGAAAUAAAAACCAAUGUACAAAUUUGAGCUCAAUCUUCCACCAUCUACUCUUUUUUCGAUGUCAACCCUUUCAUGAAAACUGGAAAAGAAUUAUAUAUAAUAAACCUAUUUCAAUUAUAAUCAUCGAAGCUUUGAACUAUACCGAAGCCACAACCAUCAGAUAGAUUAAAAACUAUAGAGCAAUAAUAGGACUGGCGUUCCAACUGUAUAGAUAGAACAAUACCUCAACAUCAAUAGUGAAUUCCAAAAUAGAUGAAGAAAAUCGAAAGGAGUCCCAUUAACAACCAGUGCAGUAAUACAACUUCUAUAAUAUGAUAUCCAUAUCACCGAGCUACCAUGAUUGAACCAAAAUUAAUAACAGUAAUAAAUAUAACUACCUCCGGCCAAUGAAUAACUUUUAUAGAUGAACCAUGUUUAAUAAAUAAGAUUAGACCAUAAGAAUGAUAAGAAAACCGAGAUAAUAAAAUCCAAGAUGUGAAGCUAUACUGAAUUUUCGAGAAUAAAAACCACAUUGAAUGAUAAAGAGAUCGAUGAUAUCCCAGAGAAAAUUCAGAAGAAGAAUAUCGCUCGUACACACUAAAAAUAGUUGUGAUAAAGACAAUAUAAAUUCCAUAUAUGUAAUUCGGAAAAUUCAACCAGUAGAAAUAGAAAAUAACUUCAUAUGAUUCUUAUCAUCAAGUCUUCUAUCAAACAUAAUAGAUUAGAAAACCAAAGAAAGAUAGAACAAUGCCAAUCAUAAAUCAACCAGACUAACAAUACUUCCAGCUAACAUUAUGUUUAACCAAACUUUCUAUAUGAUAAGAAUCACAUCUGAAAAUAAACAGUUGAUGCUUCUUUAUUUGUUCGGGUCGUACUGGUUCAACGUUGUAUGUUCUUGUGUACGUUGAUGAUAUUAUUGUUACAGGUGAUGUGCCUUCUGCUAUAGAGUGGUUUGUUCAAUUGUUAAAUAGUAAGUUCUCGCUUAAGGACAUGGGCGAUCUUCAUUACUUUCUUGGGAUAGAAGUUACUCGUUCUUCAUCAGGCUGUCUUCAUCUAUGUCAGAAGAAGUAUAUACGUGAUAUUCUUAUUCGGUGUUCGAUGGAAAAUGCGAAGAGUGUUAAUACACCGAUGAUUAGUUCCUCUAUCAUGACUAGAGAUGGUGGUGAGCGUUUAGAGGAUCCGACUGAAUACAGGAGCCUUGCUGGAGCAUUACAGUAUGUCACUCUUACGCGGCCUGAUGUUGCAUACGCUGUAAAUCGAAUAUGUCAGUUUAUGCAUUGUCCCACUUCUGUUCAUAUGACUGCUCUAAAGCGUAUUUUGAGGUAUCUAGGUGGAACGAUUGAAUUUGGGAUUGUGUUUCGUCCGUCCACUAGUUUGUCAUUAGUUGGGUAUGCUGAUGCAAACUGGGGGUUAGAUUUUGAUGACUGGAGGUCUACUACUGGGUACUAUGUUUAUUUCGGAUGUAAUCCUGUGUCGUGGUGUACGAAGAAACAGCAGGUUGUUGCUCGGUCUACUGCUGAGGCAGAAUACCAGAGUCUUGCCGCGGUCACUAGUGAGGUUACAUGGCUUUUGUCGUUACUUCAAGAAUUACAUGUUCAGUCUACUAGUAUUCCCAAUAUUUGGUGUGACAGUUCUGGUGCGGUUGCAGUUGCUACUAAUCCUGUUGUUCAUUCAAAGUUUAAGCAUGUUGAAUUAGAUUUAUUUUUCGUUCGUGAAAAGGUUGCUGAUGGUACUGUUGCCGUUGGUGAGGUUCCGGCGUGUGAUCAAGUUGCUGAUGUUCUCACUAAGCCACUUUCGCUAUCGAUUUUUGCUCGUUUUCGAAAUUUCCUACGGGUCUUGCCUGUGGAGAAGAUGGAUGAAUAUUAGAGUAUAGAGAGUUGUUAGUUAGUUGUGAAUAUGGUAGAAGGUUGUUGCUUAGUAUGGAGCAGUUACUCAUGUCUAUAAAUACUGUACAUCUGUAUUCAGAGAGCAAGGAUUUUUGAAUAAACAAACAAAGAAGUUUAUUCUUCAUUUUCUAUUUUGUUCUCUGUUUGGCUAGAUAUUUCUUUCUAUUUUAUCUAGCUCUUUCAUUCUCGAAAGGCUAGGCUAGUAACACUUUUACUCUACGAAAGAAAAACUGAGCCACCACAAACCAAGGCAUCCCCCCCCCCCCCCCACAAAAAAAAAUUGUAACUAAACAUCUUGUGAAAAUUCUUAAAAAAAUUAUAAAAAAUUAAAAAUUUUAAAUUUUAUACUGCAGUUUUUUAAUGAUUUUUACAAUUUUUAGUUAACGAUUAUUUUACAGUUUUUUUAAGAAUUGAGUAUUUUGUUACAAAAUUGUGUUUUUUCUCUAGGAAUUUGAGUAUUGGCAAAAUUAGGCAAAAAUGCCACUUUUAAUAAAAAAAAUUAGGAAAUCAAGAUCAAAUUGAUAAAAUAUGUAAGUAUUGAGGACUAAAUAUAUUAUUAUACCAGUUAGAAAAAGACUUUUGAUUAUCAAUUUAACGACAAGUAAUCAAAAUAAAAAUAAAUUCAAACAUUAAUACCUAAAUUAAAAAAUUUUAAAUUAAGUAACCAAAAUAAAAAAUGCGAGCAUAAUUAAGUAAAUUAUCAAUUUAUCCGAAUUUAUAUUAUAUUUAUUAUUAAUAUAUCAAAAUUUAUAUGAAUGUUAUAUUAUUUUAAAUCAUUUUGAGCUUCUAGUCAGCUACUAAAUGCGAAUAUAUAAUGUUGUGGCAUGGCCCAUCGAGGUCUUGCUUCGAAUGGAUGUAUGUUGAUAUAUGUCUCUCACCAACUUCAAAGUCGGCUGGCACACCAAACACGAACAAAUCAUUGGCAAAAUAUCACAAUAUAUAUCCCGAGGUGUCACAUGCGAUUUUUCUAUAGGUUUUCUUUAAGUAAGUUGACCAUAGGUCUACGGUAGCAACUGGAUACAUUUUCAAUCAGAAAAUAUUAAUAUAUACAUAUUUUAUAUAUGAAUAUGAUAAAAUAUCAGAUUAAUUUAAAAAUUUACAUAUAUAACAAUUACAAUUAUAUCAAUAAUUGUAUUGUUAAAAUAUUAUUUGUAUAAAAAAUUAUAAUAUGAUUUUAAUUUUAGAUGGAUAAAAACAGAUUUCGUAGUUGAUUAUUGAGCUUAUAUUAUUAAUUACACCUAUAUAUUUCCCUGGUUAGAUGUUUUGACUUCAAUCAGAGAAACAUUAAAGUAGUAUAAUUUCCGAAACUGAAUAGUAUUAUUUAUUGAGCUUAGUUUUACAUGUUACAAAACAUUGACUGAAACAAAAGAAUACUGUGAGGCUGCUUUUGAACAAAGUAUCUGUCCUUCGGCAUGACUAGCGAUGGGAAUCUUAAUCAACAAAUUAAGAAGCGGUGCACUCUUUAGGAAGUCCCAUAGGAAAUCGCUUGGUGUCGGUGCAGUAAUUGUAAAUCAUAUAAUUUUUCUGAACCCAUUUGAGCCUUUGUUGGCUCGCUAUAUCCAGUUCUUGCGAUAGCCAUGAAUUUUGGGAGGGUGAUGAGGUGUAGGAACAUGAUGAUUUACCGGAAGACCAGACACAUGCAUCAGCUUUGAAAGUCCUGUAAGAAGCAGUGAAAGGAGCUAGGCUCCAAUCCGUCUUAACAAGACCACCUCGAGUGGCCCAAUCAUCGGCGUUCCAAAGACUCGAAUACACUCUCAUCGGCUGGCUCUUUGGGAACGCAACGCCCUUUGAUUCCAAGUUCUUGAACUCUCUAAUUGGUGUCCCAUCAACAGAGAAGCUGUAAACAUUCAAAAGAAUCACAAUUAAACAUACUGAAAAUAAUCGAAACUGAAACGUUUUUAGAAAAAUGGGAUUGUAUAAUAAGACAUACAUAAUACGUUGAGGGAUCCAAAGAAGGGAGUAGGUAUGAAAGUCUUUGGUGGGAUCGAACCAAAGGUAGAACUGUUGCUCUUUGUCACCUUUGCCUUGUGUAUAUACAUUGGUGUGGACUAUGUAUGGGUCUCCGCUUAGGUUCCCCAAGAAUUCGAAGUCGAUUUCAUCCCAUGUCGACCCUUCCGAACGAAGCUGCAAUUGUCACCCCAGAUAUCAACAGAGUUCUAACAUAAAUAAGAGACAAGUAUGAUGAUAAAACUUAC